rnacentral:pre_miRNA from 1 species
AAUUGGAGAAUAACAAAUAAGAUUUUUUUUUUUCAGCUUUUUCCCCCUUAGAAAAUUCAAAUCCAACUAAAAAUACUAAAAACCAUGAGGAAAAAUCUGACUUGUUAUUCUCCUAUU